rnacentral:rRNA from 1 species
GAUGAACGCUGGCGGCGUGCUUAACACAUGCAAGUCGAACGAUGAACCUCACUUGUGGGGGGAUUAGUGGCGAACGGGUGAGUAACACGUGAGUAACCUGCCCUUGACUCUGGGAUAAGCCUGGGAAACCGGGUCUAAUACUGGAUACGACCUUCUGGCGCAUGCCAUGUUGGUGGAAAGCUUUUGUGGUUUUGGAUGGACUCGCGGCCUAUCAGCUUGUUGGUGGGGUAAUGGCCUACCAAGGCGACGACGGGUAGCCGGCCUGAGAGGGUGACCGGCCACACUGGGACUGAGACACGGACCAGACUCCUACGGGAGGCAGCAGUGGGGAAUAUUGCACAAUGGGCGCAAGCCUGAUGCAGCGACGCCGCGUGAGGGAUGAAGGCCUUCGGGUUGUAAACCUCUUUCAGUAGGGAAGAAGCCGGCUUUUGGGUUGGUGACGGUACCUGCAGAAGAAGCGCCGGCUAACUACGUG